rnacentral:lncRNA from 1 species
GAUCGUUUUUAGUUCGCGUUGCUUAGCGAUUUUUGUAAACAAAACAGCUAUUUAAAAUGGAGAAUCAAUUGAAGAUAGUACAAAAUGAAACCAACUCUUUAAUUCAUGUAUAUUUGAUGCACAUGACUGGUAUAUGGUUGCUGUACAACAGACUUAGAAGUAGAAGAAAAAGAACGAAAUACACAAGAUCAAUAUUGGCGCAAAGAAGACGACAAGGAGACUAUGCAAAUCUUGUGCAGGAAAUGAGACUUGAUCCAGAAUAUCACAUUCUAUACUUUCGUAUGUCACGGGAGCAUUUUGAAAAGUUGGCAAGAAAAGUAUGUCCCCU